rnacentral:rRNA from 1 species
CAGCCGUAAACUAUGCGCGUUAGGUGUAUCGGUGACCACGAGUUACCGAGGUGCCGAAGGGAAACCGUGAAACGUGCCGCCUGGGAAGUACGGUCGCAAGGCUGAAACUUAAAGGAAUUGGCGGGGGAGCGCCACAACAGGUGGAGCCUGCGGUUUAAUUGGACUCAACGCCGGGAAGCUCACCGGAUAGGACAGCAGAAUGAUUGCCGGGCUGAAGACCCUGCAUGACUAGCUGAGAGGUGGUGCAUGGCGUCAGUGACU